rnacentral:rRNA from 2 species
CAUGUCUUUUUGAUUUUAAUUUAAGGUUUGAUCUGCUCAAUGAUUAUUUAAAUUGCCGCAGUAUUUUAACUGUGCAAAGGUAGCAUAAUAAUUAGUUUCUUGAUUAGGGGCUGGAAUGAAUGAUUUGACGAAAAAAUUACUGUCUCUUUUUAAUUGAUAAUUGAAUUUUAUUUUUAAGUUAAAAAGCUUAAAUAUUAAUGAAAGACGAGAAGACCCUAUAGAGUUUAAUAUUGAUUUAUAUUAAUUUUUAGUAAUUUAAUUAUAAUAAAGUAUUUAGUUGGGGUGACUUGGAGAUUUAAUUAAUUCUUCAAUGAAUUUAUUGUUGAUAAAUAAUUUUAUAAUCUAUAUUUUUAAAUAUAAUAUAAAUUACCUUAGGGAUAACAGCGUUAUUUUUCUUUAGAGUUCUUAUUAAAAGAAAAGAUUGCGACCUCGAUGUUGGAUUAAAAUUUAUUUUUGGAGUAGUUGCUUUAAAAUUAGGUCUGUUCGACCUUUAAAAUU